rnacentral:misc_RNA from 1 species
AAAAAAUAUUCCUAUGUCCAUUUUAACAGCAAAUUAAUUUUUAUUUAACAAGAAUGAGAAAUAAAAAUAGAGAAAUGAUCUUUUACUUAAAUGAGGCUAGGUAUUUAUAUAUAAGAUUAUGUAUAAAAUAUAUUUACUGUAUUAUACAAGUAAAUAUUUUUCUUUUUAUCCUAUGUGUCUUGAAAAAUACUCAAUCCCUUUAUCUGAAUAAGUCUCUGCUACAUGUAAAGAGAAGUUGUCAAGUAGGUAUUGGAGUGAAAUUUAUUGGGCGUAUUCGGGUCAUUAAAUUUUGGUGUUUCUUACAUUCACUUAAAUGUAGGCCUCUACAUAAAAUGUGAGAAUUGAAUCCCACAUUUAUGCGAGUAAAAAAGUGUAUAUUUCCCGUGUAAUAUAUAAUUUUUUGUUCUCAAUACAUAUAAUGUGACAAUCAGAAUGAUGUCUUUUUUUAAAAAAAUAAGAGAGUGUUGUGAAGUAUAAGAUUUUAAGUUACUGGAUUGAUAUCACAAUUUUAUCUACUAUAUAUGCAGGGGAGAGAAUUAGCAGUAAUUUCACUCGGGUGGUGGUGGUAGUGUGGCUAUUUGUUGUGUUCAUCUUA